GGGGGACUGAAGUAUGCCAAUAUGGCCAGCUUUCAAGCAAUCACCCCUUGAAGCUCUUCCUGUGGUGAAGCUGAGGGAUCCCCCGCAUUGCACUGUGGGAGACACCAACCUCAGCCCUGAACCACCCUCCAGAUAUAUUCAGUGCGCCCUGGGAAGUGCGGUCCUCAGCUCUCCAGACUCAUGAAGGCCACCACCUGCUCCAGCUUGAAGGCCAGCCUCUGUUUCCUGGCUGCAUCGUCCUGCUCCAGUGAACACACAAUCUGCCAGCAGGACAGUGAGGAGCCCGCCCACACACACACAUUUCCUCCCUUCAUCCAUCCAGUGUUUGGUGUGUACAUGUUAUCGACAGCUCACCUCUCCACCCAGCUCUUGUAGCUGGGAAUGUCCUUGGCAUAAAGCAGCUUGUUGGAGGGUGA